rnacentral:rRNA from 1 species
ACCAUGCAGUCGAGCGGAUGAGGGAGCUUGCUCCCGGAUUCAGCGGCGGACGGGUGAGUAAUGCCUAGGAAUCUGCCUGGUAGUGGGGGAUAACGUCCGGAAACGGGCGCUAAUACCGCAUACGUCCUGAGGGAGAAAGUGGGGGAUCUUCGGACCUCACGCUAUCAGAUGAGCCUAGGUCGGAUUAGCUAGUUGGUGGGGUAAAGGCCUACCAAGGCGACGAUCCGUAACUGGUCUGAGAGGAUGAUCAGUCACACUGGAACUGAGACACGGUCCAGACUCCUACGGGAGGCAGCAGUGGGGAAUAUUGGACAAUGGGCGAAAGCCUGAUCCAGCCAUGCCGCGUGUGUGAAGAAGGUCUUCGGAUUGUAAAGCACUUUAAGUUGGGAGGAAGGGCAGUAAGUUAAUACCUUGCUGUUUUGACGUUACCAACAGAAUAAGCACCGGCUAACUUCGUGCCAGCAGCCGCGGUAAUACGAAGGGUGCAAGCGUUAAUCGGAAUUACUGGGCGUAAAGCGCGCGUAGGUGGUUCAGCAAGUUGGAUGUGAAAUCCCCGGGCUCAACCUGGGAACUGCAUCCAAAACUACUGAGCUAGAGUACGGUAGAGGGUGGUGGAAUUUCCUGUGUAGC